rnacentral:rRNA from 1 species
UAAAGGUUCGGUCCUGACUUUACUAUCAACUUUAGCUAAACUUACACAUGCAAGUAUCCGCACCCCUGUGAGAAUGCCCUACAGUUCCCUGCUCGGGAACAAGGAGCCGGUAUCAGGCACACCCCAAAUACAGCCCAUGACACCUUGCUUAGCCACACCCCCAAGGGAACUCAGCAGUGAUAAACAUUAAGCCAUAAGUGAAAACUUGACUUAGUUAAAGCUAAGAGGGUCGGUAAAACUCGUGCCAGCCACCGCGGUUAUACGAGAGACCCAAGUUGUUAGACACCGGCGUAAAGAGUGGUUAAGAUACCCCCCCCCCCCCAACUAAAGCCGAACGCCCUCAGAGCUGUUAUACGCAUCCGAAGGUAAGAAGCCCGACCACGAAAGUGGCUUUAUAUUGUCCGAACCCACGAAAGCUAUGACACAAACUGGGAUUAGAUACCCCACUAUGCCUAGCCAUAAACAUUGAUAGCUAACUACACCCACUAUCCGCCCGGGGACUACGAGCAUCAGCUUGAAACCCAAAGGACUUGGCGGUGCUUUAGAUCCACCUAGAGGAGCCUGUUCUAGAACCGAUUACCCCCGUUCAACCUCACCUUUCCUUGUUUUCCCCGCCUAUAUACCACCGUCGUCAGCUUACCCUGUGAAGGACUCAUAGUAAGCAAGAUUGGCACAGCCCAAAACGUCAGGUCGAGGUGUAGCGUAUGGAAAGGGAAGAAAUGGGCUACAUUCCCUAAUACAGUGAAAUACGACGAUACACUGAAAUACGUAUCCGAAGGAGGAUUUAGCAGUAAGCAGAAAAUAGAGCGUUCCGCUGAAACCGGCCC